rnacentral:rRNA from 1 species
AUUGAACGCUGGCGGCAGGCCUAACACAUGCAAGUCGAGCGGAUGAAGGGAGCUUGCUCCUGGAUUCAGCGGCGGACGGGUAAGUAAUGCCUAGGAAUCUGCCUGGUAGUGGGGGAUAACGUCCGGAAACGGGCGCUAAUACCGCAUACGUCCUGAGGGAGAAAGUGGGGGAUCUUCGGACCUCACGCUAUCAGAUGAGCCUAGGUCGGAUUAGCUAGUUGGUGGGGUAAAGGCCUACCAAGGCGACGAUCCGUAACUGGUCUGAGAGGAUGAUCAGUCACACUGGAACUGAGACACGGUCCGGACUCCUACGGGAGGCAGCAGUGGGGAAUAUUGGACAAUGGGCGAAAGCCUGAUCCAGCCAUGCCGCGUGUGUGAAGAAGGUCUUCGGAUUGUAAAGCACUUUAAGUUGGGAGGAAGGGCAGUAAGUUAAUACCUUGCUGUUUUGACGUUACCAACAGAAUAAGCACCGGCUAACUUCGUG